rnacentral:rRNA from 1 species
GAUGAACGCUGGCGGCGUGCCUAAUACAUGCAAGUCGAGCGAACGGACGAGAAGCUUGCUUCUCUGAUGUUAGCGGCGGACGGGUGAGUAACACGUGGAUAACCUACCUAUAAGACUGGGAUAACUUCGGGAAACCGGAGCUAAUACCGGAUAAUAUUUUGAACCGCAUGGUUCAAAAGUGAAAGACGGUCUUGCCGUCACUUAUAGAUGGAUCCGCGCUGCAUUAGCUAGUUGGUAAGGUAACGGCUUACCAAGGCAACGAUGCAUAGCCGACCUGAGAGGGUGAUCGGCCACACUGGAACUGAGACACGGUCCAGACUCCUACGGGAGGCAGCAGUAGGGAAUCUCCCGCAAUGGGCGAAAGCCUGACGGAGCAACGCCGCGUGAGUGAUGAAGGUCUUCGGAUCGUAAAACUCUGUUAUUAGGGAAGAACAUAUGUGUAAGUAACUGUGCACAUCUUGACGGUACCUAAUCAGAAAGCCACGGCUAACUACGUG